rnacentral:misc_RNA from 1 species
GUGAAUCAUCGAAUCUUUGAACGCAAAUUGCACUCCCUGGUAUUCCGGGGAGUAUGCCUGUUUGAGGGUCGUUAGAAUAAAAAAUAGAGGCGUCGCUCUUUUUUUUAAGGGUGAUGGGGUCGGAAUUGGGCGGUCUUUCAAAUGUUAAUUAAUGUCAAAGUGGUUUGAAAUUCAUCCAUCCGGUAGGUUUAAGGGUUUUUAGGAU